GUCUUCUUCUUCCUCCCCUCCUCUCCGUCGACGCUCUCUUCUCCAUCUCCAUUUUCUUCUUCGAACGCCACCAGCAGCAGCGGAGAUCGACCAGCAGUCCGUCGAGGAGCCCCGUCGUCGCACGCCCACCAGCCGCCGGAGCUGCUCGCGCACACCCGAGCCCGUCGCCGUGCGUUCUCGCUGUUCCGCAGUCCGAGCUCCCUGUUCCGAGCUGCUCGAGACGCGUCCCAGCCCCGCCGAGCUCCCUCCGUCUCCGUCCAGCCACCCUCCGACCCCGCUUGGACCGCCGUCGCCUCACCGCUGCUCCGUCCGUCUCAGUCUCCAUCUCGCCGGCUUCUCUGUUCCAGCGGCCAUUCCAGAUCUGGGGAAGCUCAGCCGGAGCCGUUCAGCUCACCUCCGGCCACCGUGAGGCCCCGCCGUUGGCCGUACAGCACCGCUGCAGCUCCUCCGCCCAUUCCCGACCCCAACCAGCCCCGGAUCCGCCCUUUCCCGGCCUCAACCAGCAGCGAACAGAGAGUUGGAAAAUGGGUAUCGCAGCGAAGGUUUAGCCCGUUUUGGUCGGCUUCCCGACCCCGGAAGCUAGGCCCGCCUUGGAGACUAUCGACCCUCGCGUCGUCCUUGUCGUUUUGAGCCGUUCAGAUCGUUAAUCGGGUGAGUUUAUCUUCUAAACCUCGCUUAGCAAGUUAAUCAUGCUGAAGGGGUGUUUAGAUUAGUCUAAUUAGGGUUAGGUGGUUAGAUUAGAUUAUUUUAAUUUAAAUUAGAUUAGUUGUAUGAUUAGUUUAAUGGAUGUUUAAUUAGGGCUAAUUGUAUGUUUAAAUUAGUGUAAUCUAAUUUAAGCCCUAAUUGAUUAUUUUUAAUUAAAUAAUUAUUUCGAAUUUUUAAAUAUUAUUUUAUUAUUUUAUAUUAUUAUAAUAUAAUUUUAAUUAUUUAAUUUUCGGAAUUAAAUUUAAUUAUUUAAUAAUUUCGAAAAUUUUGCCGGGAUGGCCGGUCGUUAGAAUUUCGCACUGAUCGUAGCAGUGCGGUCAGUUUGUAUCAAUUGUAUGCAUAAUUGCGAAAUUGAGUGAAAAUGAUGAUUAUGGUUAAUAAUUCCAAGGUGAGGAAUUAAAUGAAAUUGGAGAAGUUUUGGUAUUUAACUUGAAAAUACCCGGUGUUGGCUUUUGGCACCGUAAUUGGUUUGUAGGAUCAAUUUGAAUCGUUGGAUGUUAUUGGAUUGUAUACCCAGUUCUAUGGUUUAAAUAUAUUUACCGCUUUGUCGAGCAAUUGGUUUAUAUAUGUCAGCUUGUGUGAGCAUCAUUGUCAGCUUGUGUGAGCAUUAUAUGUCAGCUUGUGAGAGCAAUGAUCGUUUAUCAGCUUGUGAGAGCAACGAUCCAUAUAUCAGCUUGUGCGAGCUAUCAUCUAUGUAUAUAUCAGCUUGUGCGAGCUAUCAUCUAUGUAUAUAUCAGCUUGUGCGAGCUACCAUCUAUAUAAGCUUGUGAGAGCAUUGCAUCCAUGUCAGCUUGUGUGAGCCGUGAUUUAUUAAUGGAUGGAUAGAUGGUAUGAAUUGAUAGAUGAUAUGAAUUGAUAGAUGGUAUGAAUUGAUCGACGUAUGAAUUGCACUGACGUGCAGGAAGGACUGAGGCAAGGUAAGUCAUCUAUUCCCUUUGUGUGGCUAGAGCACCCUGGGGCUUAUUUUCUUCCAAAUCGAGUUCUAGAGGGUAGGACUCGCUGAGACAUUGUCUCAUCCCGGUUGUGGGAUAAUAUUUCAGGUCCCUAGAUGGGGGAUCCUCCGGAGCUUUUUGGUAGACCAGUGAGGGUCGCUGAGAGGAUUUUUGACUUCGUCGAUCCCGACUGAAGAGCUAGCGAAUGGACCUGUCUAGCUGGCCUUAGGACAGCUUUGUUUUUUAGGACUGAUCUUCUAUAGAUCUUUUGUUAAUAGCCUAGUCCUGUAAAUUGACUGGUUUGAUGUGUAUAAAGGUGUGUGGUUUGAAUUGGAAAAAUGUGAUCCCGCUUUUCUAUCCCAAUUGAGUUUUGUCUGGGGAUUAUUUAUCCGCUUCCGCAUGUGCAAUAAAAAAAGAAUGGGUCGGCGACAUGUCCUGGGAAGUCGCAUUUCUAUCGACCGUAGUGGGAUGUGCGCGUGCUCGAGGUUCGGGGCGUGACAUCCCCGUUUAAGUGGUAUCAGAGCGGGUCUGUGAUUGGAGUGAUAAGGUGCGAUGGUUUAUGGGAUAGUUAGUAGGAAUGACUUUGAUUUCAUGCUGGUGCAUGUGAUUUCUAGUUGAUUGGUAAAUUGUUUGGUAGGUCACUCAAUUCUAAUUCAAUGUGAAUUGGAAAGCAGGUGUCUGUAGAGAACUUGCGUUAUGAGUGAUCAGGAGAGGACUUCUAGGAAGAAGACCAUGAGUCUCAUUACUCGGGGGAGGACGCCAACAAGGGUCGGUACCCGAGGUGGACGUGGUCGAGCGCAAGCUGAGGCUAGCGCUAGUGGAGUAGCACCACCUCCUGUUGGUGCUGGGGUAGCAGCCCCUGGUGAUCCGAGGAUCGACGGGAUCCUGCAGAUGCUUGAGGCCAUGGGGAAUCGGAUGGAUCAGCAGGCCCAGAAUCAAGCCGCCGCUAUUGCUGCUGCCGUUGCUGCUGCCACCGCUACUGCACCUGCUGUUGCACCCGCCGCCGCACCGGUUGCCGCGCCUGUUGUUGCACCUGCUGAAGUUCCACCUGGGAACGUGGUCGCUGGGAGACCAAUGCAUAAGUUGGUGGAGCAUUUCAGGAGGUUGAAUCCACCGAAGUUCACUGGGUCAGGAGACCCCGAAGCUGCAGUUCUUUGGACCAAGGGCUUAGAGAAGGCUUUUGCACUGCUAAUGUGCACUGAAGUGGAGAAGGUAGCUCUUGCAGUCUACCAACUAGAAGGCAAUGCUGAGAUUUGGUGGGAAGCCGCGAGAGACACUGUAUUCCCUGAAGGCGUAGUUCCAGAGUGGAACGCCUUUCUUGAAGUUUUCAACGACAAGUACUUUUUUGAAGCUGCCAAAGAAGUGAAGAUGGUAGAAUUUCAGCGUCUUCGCCAAGGUACUAUGACCGUAGACCAGUAUGAAGCGAAGUUCACGGAACUAUCGCGGUAUGCCCCCGAAUUGGUCAAGAAUCCGGUGAACCGAGUUAGGAGGUUCAAAGAUGGGCUUAGGCCGGAACUGAGGAGUUCGCUGAUACUACUGAACUUGGGGAACUACAAUGACUUGUACAAACGAGUCCAGAUGAUUGAGAGAGACCAGAAUGAGAGAGCCGCUGCUUCUGGGUCGCGGUUUGGGUCGAACAGAGAAGGUAAUCGGUUUGGGAAGAAACCGAUGUACGGAGGAAGGUAUCAUGUUCCGCCCAAUAGGAAGGGUGGAAUUGGGAAGUCAACGCCAAAUCAGAAUGGUGCGUGUCGCUUCUGUGGAAGGCGACAUGGUACGGCCCCAUGCCAACUUAGGACGGGCGCCUGUUAUGAAUGUGGCCAGCAGGGUCACAUAGCCAGAGAUUGUCCCAGAAAGCAGAGAGGACCGCAGCAGUUACCGCCGCCACCGCCGCUUCAGUUGGGUCAUAAUAGGGGGUUUGUGCCGCAGAUCGCACCACAGGGUGGAUCGAUUAGACCUCCAGCUCAGGGAAGGACGUAUGCCAUCACCAGAGGACAGGCGGAGGAAGCGCCUAAUGUGAUUACAGGUACAGUUUCGUUGAACGACCAUGCUGCUUAUGCUUUGUUUGACCCUGGCGCCACUCAUUCGUUUAUAGCUGAGCAGUUUGUUAAGCUGAUAGGAUUAAGUCCUGAAUUGUUGGAGUCAGUGGUUAGCAUAUCUACACUGUUAAAGGAUAAGGUGUUAGUUGCAUUGGGUUGUUCUGGUUGCAAGUUAGUGAUUGGUGAGCGAGUGGGGGAAAUAGAUUUGAUAGUCCUAGCCAUGUAUGAUUUUGAUGUAAUUAUUGGCAUGGACUGGCUCACCAAGCAACGAGCUAAGAUGGACUGUUAUCGUAAAUCGAUUCAGUUUAACCCGUUAGGGGGUGAGAGUUUCGAAUUUAUUGGGAGUCGAGGAGGACCCUCGAUUGCUCUGAUCUCGUCGCUUGAGGCAACCCGUUUGUUAGACGGGGGUUGCCAAGGUUACUAGGCAACUGCCGUAGAUACGACAGUCGAGGAGCUGAAGCUAGAAGAUAUAUCAGUGGUUCGAGAAUUUCCAGAUGUGUUUCCUAAAGAGUUGCCAGGUCUAUCGCCAGAGAGAGAGAUCGAGUUUGUGAUUGAGCUAGCACCCGGGACAGAGCCAAUCUCUAAGGCUCCUUACCGAAUGGCGUUGUCUGAAUUGAAGGAACUGAAGGUGCAGAUGCAAGAAUUGCUGGAUAAGGGAUUCAUACGCCCUAGCGCAUCGCCUUGGGGAGCACCAGUUUUGUUCGUGAAGAAGAAAGAUGGUUCGUUACGUCUGUGCAUCGAUUACUGUCAACUCAAUCAAGUGACGAUUAAGAACAAGUAUCCACUUCCGAGGAUCGAUGACUUGUUUGACCAGCUUCAAGGAGCGUCAAUAUUUUCAAAGAUCGACUUGAGGACAGGGUAUCAUCAGUUGAGGAUCAAGAAGGAAGACAUACCGAAGUCAGCAUUUCGUACUCGAUACGGCCAUUAUGAAUUUACUGUAAUGCCGUUUGGUUUGACGAACGCUCCAGCUGCUUUUAUGGAUCUGAUGAACCGUGUGUUCAAGGAGUAUCUGGAUCAGUUUGUAAUUGUGUUCGUCGACGACAUCUUGGUGUACUCGAGAAGUCCAAAAGAGCACAAAAGACAGUUGAGGAUAGUGCUACAGACUCUGAGGAAUUACGAGCUGUAUGCCAAGUUCAGUAAGUGCGAGUUUUGGUUAACUCGUGUGGCGUUUCUAGGUCACGUGAUUUCAGGUGAAGGAAUAUCAGUGGACCCGUCCAAGAUUGAAGCAGUGAUUAAUUGGCCGAGACCGACGACAGUAACAGAGAUCAGAAGUUUUCUGGGUUUGGCAGGGUAUUACAGAAGGUUUGUGGAAGGGUUUUCAGCGUUAGCUUCACCGUUGACUCGUUUACUAAGGAAAGAUGAGAAGUUCGUGUGGACAGACAAGUGCGAGUGUAGUUUUCAAGAGCUUAAGAAGAAGCUGACUACCGCACCUGUGCUGACCAUACCGUCUGGUCCUGGAGGUUAUGAGAUCUAUAGUGAUGCGUCUUUCAGUGGACUGGGUUGCGUGCUGAUGCAACAUGGCAGGGUUGUUGCAUACGCGUCCCGUCAAUUGAGGCCUAAUGAAUUGAAUUACCCGACGCAUGACUUAGAACUUGCAGCUAUCAUCUUCGCUUUGAAGAUUUGGAGACAUUAUUUGUGCGGAGAAAGAUUCCAGAUUUUCACUGACCAUCAGAGUCUCAAAUAUUUAUUCUCUUAGAAGGAGUUGAAUAUGAGACAGCGUCGUUGGAUGGAACUCCUGAAAGAUUAUGACUAUGAUAUUCUGUAUCACCCUGGAAAAGCAAAUAAGGUCGCUGAUGCUCUAAGUCGGAAAUCUUCAAUUGCUCAGAUGGUACUCAAGGAAUGGAGAUUGAUCGAGAAAGUUCGAGAUUCGGGUUUCAAAUUUGAGGUAGGUCACCUUUCGAACCUUAUGGCCACCCUCAGAAUUGAGCCAGAAGUUCAGAUCAGAAUCAAGACGCUUCAGUGGAUAGAUCCAGAGAUUCAGAAGAUUCUACAAGAGAGUACAGAAAAGAAGAAUGCUAACUUUCAGAUUGCUGAGGAUAGAACACUGCGGUUCCAAUGACGAUUGUGUGUACCUGACGAUGUGGAGCUUAGAGAGGAGAUUUUAUCAGAGGCUCAUCGUAGCAGUUACAGCAUUCAUCCUGGCAGUAUGAAGAUGUAUCAGAAUCUGCGUCGACAUUAUUGGUGGUCUGGUAUGAAGGCGGACAUCGCCAAGCAUGUCGCCAAAUGUCUGACCUGUCAGCAAGUAAAGGCACAGCACUGUAAGCCGGGAGGACUUCUGCAACCUCUCGAGAUUCCUGAGUGGAAAUGGGAACAUAUCACGAUGGACUUCGUGACUGGACUACCGAGGAGUCAAAGAGGAAAUGAUUCGAUUUGGGUAGUGGUCGACAGAUUGACGAAGUCGGCUCACUUCAUUGCAGUACGAAAGGACCUUAGUUUGGAUAGACACGCAGACCUGUAUGUGCGUCAGAUCGUUCGUUUGCAUGGAGUGCCAGUGACGAUUACUUCAGACAGAGACCCGAGGUUCACAGCCGCCUUUUGGAAAAGCUUGCAGAGUGCUUUGGGUACGAAGCUGCAGUACAGUACGGCCUAUCAUCCUCAGACGGAUGGCUAGUCUGAGAGGACUAUUCAAACCCUCGAAGACAUGCUGCGAGCUUGCGUACUGGAUUUUAAAGGGAGUUGGGAAGACCAGCUUCAUCUUGUCGAAUUCGCCUACAACAACAGUUAUCAGCAGAGUAUUCAGAUGGCACCUUUCGAAGCGUUGUAUGGCAGAGCAUGCAGAACACCCGUGUGUUGGGAUGAGGUUGGUGAAAGAAAGCUUACAGGCCCAGAGUUAGUUAAGCAGUCAGUGGAGGCAGUUGCAGUGAUUAGAAGCAGAUUACAGACCGCUCAGAGUCGUCAGAAAAGCUAUGCAGACAAGCGUCGAAGACCGUUGGAGUUCCAAGUUGGUGAUCAUGUUUUUCUAAAGGUGUCGCCAAUGAGGGGUACUUCGCACUUUGGAAAGAAAGGAAAACUGAGUCCGAGGUACGUAGGUCCCUUUGAGAUUCUGGAAAGAAUCGGGAUUCUAGCGUAUCGUCUUGCAUUACCGCCAAAGUUGGCGCAAGUGCAUGACGUCUUUCACGUGUCGAUGUUGAGGAAGUAUGAGCCUGACCCGACCCACGUGCUUAAUUUUGAGGAAUUGGACGUGGACGACCGUGUGUCGUACGUUGAAAGCUCGGUUCAGAUCGUGGAUCGCAAAGAGCAAGUUCUGCGCACCAAGACCAUUCCGUUGGUCAAAGUGGUCUGGCAACACCACGGCACUAAAGGAGCAACCUGGGAAAGUGAAGAGUCGAUGAGAGAAUUGUACCCCCACCUUUUUGAUUCAAGGAUUGUAAUGGUUUAAAUUUCGAGGACGAAAUUUUUAUAAGAGGGGAAGAGUUGUGACAUCCCAAAUUUCUGAUUCUGUUUUUAAUUAAAUGAGACGGACUUUUUAUCGACGCGCUUAUAGUUCAAUUCUCCGAGCUGAUCACUCACGAGAUAACUAGUCUAUCAGGUGAAGCCGUUAAGGAAUUUAAAUGCAAUAGGCUUGAGAAUCUGACCAUGAACCGACUGCUCGACCGUAUAAAUCUGCAAGGAUCAUUACGACACUGUCAGAAUCGAACAGAGAUCAGUAAUAGGUCGAUUCGACUGAGAUAUGUAAUUAGAGUGUGGGUGAUUCCACCUGAUUUCAAUAUCCUCGUCGACCGGCACUGAACUGAUUAUUCUGUCGUUUUGGGUACCCUGUGUCCGUAUUUGAAACCUCGAGAUUUUUUUACGAUAAUCAAGAGUCGCCAAUGUGUCAAAGAUUUAUGUCGUGGCUUGAAAAUAAUCAACCAUGGUCAAUUGCACUGAAAAUUUCCUAAAAGCUACUCGGUAGAUUAGGACGCGCUCAAAUCACGCCAGAUUGAAAUUAAUCGUGAUUUUAAACCCGGAUUCAGAAAUUGAAGGUUUUGGCAUGUCACAAUUCAUUUAAAGAACGUCGACUCAUCUCCAGAAGAUUUUUCUACAAACCGAGAUUUUUGGCGGAAAAGCAAAGUAAGGCCGUUUUUGUUCGGGAUUGUCAGAGGGCCGUUUUUAAUCGAAUCUUCGGGAUGCAAGUUGGAUCAUUUGACGGGGAAAUGUCAUGAGAAGGCUGAGGACACAUGGGUUAAUUUAAUUGAGCUUCAAUUGAAUGGAAUUGAUUGAGAAUUGAUUAAAUUAAGUGUACAAGAAUUGGACCCCGGCGGAAAAUGAAAUUGAACCCAUUGGAAUGAGGUUGUGGGAGAUAGUGGAAGGUGACAUCAUCCAUGAGGUCAUGGUGGGGCCAAAGAGAGAGAGAAAGAGAAAAAGAAAAAGAAAAAGAGAGGGAGAGAGAGAACCGGUCUUCUUCUUCCUCCCCUCCUCUCCGUCGACGCUCUCUUCUCCAUCUCCAUUUUCUUCUUCGAACGCCACCAGCAGCAGCGGAGAUCGACCAGCAGUCCGUCGAGGAGCCCCGUCGUCGCACGCCCACCAGCCGCCGGAGCUGCUCGCGCGCACCCGAGCCCGUCGCCGUGCGUUCUCGCUGUUCCGCAGUCCGAGCUCCCUGUUCCGAGCUGCUCGAGACGCGUCCCAGCCCCGCCGAGCUCCCUCUGUCUCCGUCCAGCCACCCUCCGACCCCGCUUGGACCGCCGUCACCUCACCGCUGCUCCGUCCGUCUCAGUCUCCAUCUCGCCGGCUUCUCUGUUCCAGCGGCCAUUCCAGAUCUGGGGAAGCUCAGCCGGAGCCGUUCAGCUCACCUCCGGCCACCGUGAGGCCCCGCCGUUGGCCGUACAGCACCGCUGCAGCUCCUCCGCCCAUUCCCGACCCCAACCAGCCCCGGAUCCGCCCUUUCCCGGCCUCAACCAGCAGCGAACAGAGAGCUGGAAAAUGGGUAUCGCAGCGAAGGUUUAGCCCGUUUUGGUCGGCUUCCCGACCCCGAAAGCUAGGCCCGCCUUGGAGACUAUCGACCCUCGCGUCGUCCUUGUCGUUUUGAGCCGUUCGGAUCGUUAAUCGGGUGAGUUUAUCUUCUAAACCUCGCUUAGCAAGUUAAUCAUGCUUAAGGGGUGUUUAGAUUAGUCUAAUUAGGGUUAGG
rnacentral:lncRNA from 1 species